GGUAGCUACGUGCCAGCGUCGGGGGUAGUGCGGUGGGGGGAAGUGUUAAUGGGAAUGACGGGGCGGAAAGCGUGCGCAGGCGGUGGUGGAAGACCGGUGGGAAAUCCCCGGGCUUAACCUGGGAACUGCAUUUGUGACUGCAUCGCUGGAGUGCGGCAGAGGGGGAUGGAAUUCCGCGUGUAGCAGUGAAAUGCGUAGAUAUGCGGAGGAACACCGAUGGCGAAGGCAAUCCCCUGGGCCUGCACUGACGCUCAUGCACGAAAGCGUGGGGAGCAAACAGGAUUAGAUACCCUAGUAGUC
rnacentral:rRNA from 1 species